rnacentral:tRNA from 2 species
GGGCGAUUAGCUCAGUUGGGAGAGCACCUCCCUUACAAGGAGGGGUCACUGGUUCGAGCCCGGUAUCGCCCACCA